CUGACCCACCUGUGGCAGGGCCUGUGUUCGGGCCUGCAGGGCUGUUCUGUAUCUGGGCUAAAUGUACUGAAGCAAACUGUAACUGCUGCUCAUAAAGCGUUUUAUAACACAGCCCGGCCGGUACCGGUUCCUCCUCAUCCCGCCAGAGGGACUCUGUGGACCAGAGACCAGCUGUCGGUGCUGCCAGCUGGUGCUCAGGUGUUCUCAGAACCGUCAGCCGGGCCCGGAGGUGCGCUUCGAGCCUGAAGUUUGGUUCCCCGCUGUGUUGUGGACUCACUACACCUCCACUUCUCCACCCUGAGGCUCGACAGCAGUAUACGGUGACGCCUUCCAGCAGGGAUUACCACACCGUGAGCUCUGGCCCUCCCACCGCGCGCAGUAAUGAAGGAGCGGCUGUGGAGACUGGAGGCGCAGGCGGCCGCUCGCUUUCCACCAGAGUUUUACACGGCAGACGACAAAUCUGGACGUGACUGUCUUACCAGAGAUUAAAACUGUCUGAGGCAGACACAGAGACACGGAGAGAGAGAGAGAGAGAGAGAUUGGGCCGAUCACGACGGUGGUGAUAAAAUCACGAUGAGAUCACAGUUGUUGGUCUGAAGUAAUCAGACAUGUUUUCCUCCAUGAAGAGGAGAAGAUCUGUAGCUGGAACUAUUUCCUCAGGCGCAGUGACUCACUGGAGACCAGCAGGGACUUCAGGAAGUUACUGCAGCAGAACUUCAGAGAGCAGGAAGUGUGUGCGUCAUGAAAUUCGCCCUGGUUAUCUGCUUUCACACGCUCUGGCCAGCCGCCUGCCCUCGAGCAGCACCGAGCCCCUGCUGUCGGAGGGCUGGACACACAACUCCAACACACACAACAUGCAGCGGACAUACAUGCAACAGACAGGAGUGUGUGUCUGUGUGGCUGUUAUCAAGCACGUCACACCAGCAGGUCAAUAUUUUCACACAAAGCACGUGUUUAAAUGAAAGCCGGAGGCGGAGACGAGUUCGGCUGAGACGGGCGCUCUUGUUAAGGAGAACUUCUCCUCGGGCCUUAGGUGAGGGUGAGAAUGUGUGAGGUCACACCAUGUGACCUUUAGCUGAAGCCGCUGGGCCGCCAUUGGUCCAGAGCCAACCCCCCCCAACAAACCCCCCCAACAACCCACCUCCCCCAAAGACUCGCAGCAGCAGCAGCAGCUCUGACCGCGGCUGCACUUAGUGCUCAGACGAGUUGUGUGUUUGUAGGUCGACUGUGAAUCUUCAGUGUGGCUUUUAUCUCGUAUUUAUUCUGGAGCACGUAUAGAAGCAGCAUCGCACCUUCUGCCAUGGAGGCUUUAAAUAUUUACCUCUCUGAGUUCAGAGAAAGGUGUGUGUGUGUGUGUGUGUGUGUGUUAGCAUUAUUACAUUAUAUAUUUUAUAUUUGCAUGUUUUCCUUGAGACGUAAAGGUGCAGCUUGUGGAGGAGGCCUGAAGUCGAUCUUCUGUGUUGUGAAGCUUCUCUGUUGUUUCCUGCUGUGAUUUGAAUUUGAGCCUGUUGCAUCACUGCCCUCUUUAAAAAUAAACUAUUGAUCAGGA